GACGAACGCUGGCGGCGUGCUUAACACAUGCAAGUCGAACGGAAAGGCCCUACUUGCCGGGUACUCGAGUGGCGAACGGGUGAGUAACACGUGGGUGAUCUGCCCUGCACUUCGGGAUAAGCCUGGGAAACUGGGUCUAAUACCGGAUAGGAGCCAUUUUUAGUGUGAUGGUUGGAAAGUUUUUUCGGUGUAGGAUGAGCUCGCGGCCUAUCAGCUUGUUGGUGGGGUAAUGGCCUACCAAGGCGGCGACGGGUAGCCGGCCUGAGAGGGUGGACGGCCACAUUGGGACUGAGAUACGGCCCAGACUCCUACGGGAGGCAGCAGUGGGGAAUAUUGCACAAUGGGCGCAAGCCUGAUGCAGCGACGCCGCGUGGGGGAUGACGGCCUUCGGGUUGUAAACUCCUUUCGCUAGGGACGAAGCUUUUGUGACGGUACCUAGAUAAGAAGCACCGGCUAACUACGUG
rnacentral:rRNA from 1 species